rnacentral:rRNA from 1 species
AUGGAUAUGCCCUACACCAUGCACGCAACAGUAAACUUUCUUGUCAUUUUAUCAACCACACUUGUUUCUAAUAUCCCUUGUAAAGACAAGAUCUGCCGAAAAAGACGGCCUGAAGAACGCAGCAUGGCAACUAGCAGUGGUGGUAGUGGGAGGUACUUCAUCAGACACUUCAGAGUUCAGAGUAGAGAAGGGCUGACCUUAAUUAACCCUGGGUCUAGAGGAUGUGAACUUUGGAGCAAUCAUGCGUUCCAAGAUUAUACUGGUUCGAGUAACGACACAAGCCCAGCUGUUGUUGACACAAAUCUGCCUUACGCUAGCUCACAAGUGGAACUCAUGUAG